UCGAUGCUACCUCUCUCGCGAAGAACAGUGACAACAACACCUUCUCAGGGUGCUUUCGGUUCUCUCAUGUUCAAGUGAACAAAAACAAGAACUUCCGGCCUCUUUUGAUUGAAGACAAACUCAAGACAAUUCAACAAUUAACAGCAAUAUUGAGCGUGAGGUAUGAAGAUAACUUACCUGCGGCUAGAAGAUUUUAGCCGGAUUAGUGUUGCAGGUAUGUGUCGGUUGCUCUGCUUCUGAAAUUCUGCUUCUGAAAUUGGCUAUGAUUACUGCGUUUCUGUUGUAAGUGAUUGUUGAUUCUGAGUCGCAAAUCUGAACUGCUGCUACGUUGCUGUUACGGCUUCAAACUCACCAUGAAUUGUUGCUGUGAUUGAUUAUGAACCGUGGCUUGUUUCUGUUGCUACUGUUAUUGUUGUUGCUGCAGGUAUAACACUGAUUAAUGGAAAUAUUGAGAGUAAGAGUGAAAUUAGCUUACCUACGGCGAGGAGGUUUUCGCCGGAUUAUUGUUGAGGAUCCUUUGAUGAAGAUGACACCACCUCUUUGGAUAUUAGGGAGACUUGAAGAUGGACUUCAAGUUGGAACUCUCCACCAAGGUAUGAAGAAUUUCUUCUUCACUCCCCUUCAAGAACUAUGUAGCUAGAAACUGUUAUUUUUUUUCAAGUAGUUUUCUUUGAUUUGAAGAAUUUCUCCUUCUAACAAAGAAACAUGAAAACUAUAAGAGAAGAGGAAGAAGUGAGAAAGCUAGUAGUAUAGUAGCUUUGGUGUGAUUUGCAAUGAAGUGAAGCCUUCUAUUUAUAGGAAAAGUUAAGGGUGUGUUUGGCACUUGGUAAACUUGAUUGGCAAGAUACAAUCAUUGCAAGGAAUAGAAUAAGAAUAAAAAUAUUCUUUAUGAGAUAUUUCUCUUGCAAGUGGACAUGGAAUAUCUCUUUGAUUCCUUUUGUUUUGAUUUAAUCUUUUUUUUUUGAAUUAUUGAAC